rnacentral:rRNA from 1 species
UCCGGUUGAUCCUGCCGGACCCGACUGCUAUUUGGGUGAGAAUAAGCCAUGCGAGUUGAAUGGGAUACCUAAAUUUCCCAUGGCAAACUGCUCAGUAACACAUGAUCAACUUACCCUAUAGAGAAAAAUAACCUCGGGAAACUGAGGAUAAUGUUUCAUAAUUGAAUUGGCUUGGAAAAGUUUUUCAACGAAAAGGAUAAAAAAAAUGGUUUUUAUCUGCUAUAGGAUAGGAUCGUGUUCGAUUAUGGUUGUUGGUGAGAUAAUGGCUCACCAAGCCGAUAAUCGAUAGGGGCCGUGAGAGCGGGAGCCCCGAGAUGGGUACUUAGACAACGACCCAGGCCUUACGAGGCGCAGCAGGCGCGGAACCUCCGCAAUACACGAAAGUGUGACGGGGUUACCCAAAGUGUUCAAUAGAACUGUGGUAGGUGAGUAAUGUUCCCUACUAGAAAGGAGAGGGCAAGGCUGGUGCCAGCCGCCGCGGUAAAACCAGCUCUUCAAGUGGUCGGGAUAAUUAUUGGGCUUAAAGUGUCCGUAGCCGGUUUAGUAAGUUCCUGGUAAAAUCGGGUAGCUUAACUAUCUGUAUGCUAGGAAUACUGCUAUACUAGAGGGCGGGAGAGGUCUGAGGUACUACAGGGGUAGGGGUGAAAUCUUAUAAUCCUUGUAGGACCACCAGUGGCGAAGGCGUCAGACUGGAACGCGCCUGACGGUGAGGGACGAAAGCCAGGGGAGCGAACCGGAUUAGAUAC